GACAGAGGGGGCAAGCGUUGCUCGGAAUUACUGGGCGUAAAGGGCGCGUAGGCGGGAUGGCAAGUCGGUCGUGAAAUCCUUCGGCUCAACCGAAGAACGUCGAUCGAUACUGCUGUUCUUGAGGGUUGCAGAGGAGACUGGAAUUCCCGGUGUAGCGGUGAAAUGUGUAGAGAUCGGGAGGAACACCGGUGGCGAAGGCGGGUCUCUGGGCAUGUCCUGACGCUGAGGAGCGAAAGUGUGGGGAGCGAACAGG
rnacentral:rRNA from 1 species